GUAGAAUUCAAAGAAAAUCAAUGUCAAAGGUUUCGAGAUAAACCACUUUCAAGUUGGAAACGGACCACAUAAAUUGUUGAUAUUUCACGGAAUGCUGGGUCUAUUUAGUCGUUUUGGACCGCUGACGGAAAACAUCGAUGGUGAAAAAUAUAUGAUGUACAUAUGUGAUCCUCCAGGUUACGGUUUGAGUCGACCACCGAACAGAUAUUUUUCACCGUGAUUUUUAGACCGCGACGCAGAUUGUGCCAUUGCGCUUAUGGAGGCGUUGGGUCUUGUCACAUGCCUACCAUGUUUACGGUGUUUCAACUGUUUCAAGAAAAGAAAAAUCAUAAAAAAAUUUCCUGAUGGUAACAAUAAGGGUUUAACUAUACUUAGUGGUAAUAAUAAAC